rnacentral:rRNA from 1 species
GAUGAACGCUGACAGAAUGCUUAACACAUGCAAGUCGAUGGGGAAGUGGUGCUUGCACCAUGGUAACCAUGGCGGACGGGUGAGUAACACGUAAGGAACUUACCUGCGGGACCGGGAUAACAGCAGGAAACUGCUGACAAGACCGGAUAAGGUCAUUAAGCUGCAUAGCUUAGUGAUGAAAGGAGACGCCUGCGGAGAGCCUUGCGUCCUAUUAGCUAGUUGGAGGGGUAACGGCCCACCAAGGCGAAGAUAGGUAGCCGGCCUGAGAGGGUGGACGGCCAAAAGGGGACGGGAGAACGGCCCUUACCCCCACGGGGGGCAGCGGUGGGGAAUAUUGGAAAAGGGGGGCAACCCUGACCCAGCAAUUCUGUGGGAAAAAAGACGGUUUUGGGAUUGAAAAGUGCUUUCAGCAGGGAAGAAGGAAGUGACGGUCCCGGCAAAAGAAGCGACGGCUAAAUACG